AUGAGUCAAGACUUUGGGGCACUGUUGGGAAGCCAUGAUAGUGUUUUGAAAUGUGAGAAGGACAUGAGAUUUGGGAGGGGCCAAGGUCAAAAUGAUAUGGUUUGACUCUUUGUCUCCACCCAAAUGUCAGGUGGAAUUUUAGUUCCUACUGCUGGAAGAGAGACCUAGUGGGAGGUGAUUGGAUCAUGGGGGAAGACUUCCCCCUUGCUGUUCUCAUGAUAGUGAGUGAGUACUCACAAGAUCUGGUUGUUUGAAAACGUGUAGCACUUCCCCCUUCUCUCUCUCGCUCUCUCUCCUGUCACCAUGUGAAGAUGUACCUGCAUCUCCUUCACCUUCUGCAUGACUAAAACAUAUUGCAACCAAUUAAUUAGACAGGUGGAUAGAUGUGGAAAACUAAUCCCCAUUAGGCUCAUUUCUUACAAGCAAUAAACGUUAACUAAGACACUUUAUCAGAUGCAGUUCUCAGGAUAUAUGUAAAUCUGGAGUUGGAGGAAAUCAAAGCACGGAAAUGGAAUCAGGGACAUUAUACACUGUCGCUUAAAGGCACGUUCUCUGCCAUUGUAUUACCUGUGGUGCAAAUCCUGCUUCUGCCAGUGAUGUCCUUGGCAAAUUACCUGACCCCUCUAUGCUUUAGUUUUCUGUAUCUUUAUAUAGAAAUAAUAACAAUAAUACCCAUCUAUUAAGGUUGUUGUAAGAAUUAAAUGAGUUAAUACAUAUAUAAGGCUUAGGAUAGUGUCUGAUAUGUAAUAAUAUGUAACCUUAGAUCCUCCCUAAUUACUUUUAUGUUUUUUAUUAUAUCUCUAUUAAAAUGUUUAAUGAACAUAAAGUUUAAAUGAUUUUGUACUCAGGGGGACAUAAACUUGCACUGUUUUUGCACGAGAUGCUGUACAUAACAGAGUUUCUAGCACCUUAGAGUUUGUAAAGUGUAGAAUGAGUAGCAUUCUCUGAGUCUAGGUUAGUACUUUGAUGUUUAGAUGUAUUGAAACUGAUGCUUCGCAUAUUUAUUUCUUUAAAACAUAAACUGACUAAAGUCUACAUGUUCAUGUGCAGGUAAUAUGGCCAAUAUGGGCUUCAAUUAGCUAAACCAAUCUCAGUCACAUUCCUCUAUUUGGCUGGGCAGAAAUGGUUUAGGAUUAAAAUACUUGACUAUUUGAGUUAAAUACAUCCAGCCUGAUCAUCAGGUGCCACACCAUAAAUUAUUCCUUUCAAAGCCCUUUUUGGUACUUGGAUUAAGUAAUUAUCCUACCUGCCUAAGUGCUUUACAAAGUGGGUUGCUUUUGCUAACCUAGGCUCUCCCAAGUUUUCAUAAUACCAUUAUUACUUUAACAUACCAUUCCAUUAUUGCCAUGAGACAAUCCUGUAAGGUAAACAUUACCAAAUUUCACUCAUUGGUCAGAUUAUUUAAUUCCCAGACAAGGUUUUCACUGGUUCUUAAAGUUUGUUAUAGUGGAAUUUGGGUCAUCCUAAUGUCAUGUAGCAUGUUCUAAAGGGAUUAAAUGGGACACAAAGGGAGACAGAGGCAUAUUUAAAAAUGUCUAAAUAUGAGUAACAAUUCUGUCACUGGUAGGUUAAAUUAUUAAUAAUUGUAGAGAAAAUAAUGUUUGUCUAUUAUGAGAUAAUAAACUACUAUAUUGC
rnacentral:lncRNA from 10 species